rnacentral:rRNA from 1 species
GAUCAGUGGCGAACGGGUGAGUAACACGUGAGCAACCUGCCCUGGACUCUGGGAUAAGCGCUGGAAACGGUGUCUAAUACUGGAUAUGAGCCUCUAUCGCAUGGUGGGGGUUGGAAAGAUUUUUCGGUCUGGGAUGGGCUCGCGGCCUAUCAGCUUGUUGGUGAGGUAAUGGCUCACCAAGGCGUCGACGGGUAGCCGGCCUGAGAGGGUGACCGGCCACACUGGGACUGAGACACGGCCCAGACUCCUACGGGAGGCAGCAGUGGGGAAUAUUGCACAAUGGGCGGAAGCCUGAUGCAGCAACGCCGCGUGAGGGAUGACGGCCUUCGGGUUGUAAACCUCUUUUAGCAGGGAAGAAGCGAAAGUGACGGUACCUGCAGAAAAAGCGCCGGCUAACUACGUGCCAGCAGCCGCGGUAAUACGUAGGGCGCAAGCGUUAUCCGGAAUUAUUGGGCGUAAAGAGCUCGUAGGCGGUUUGUCGCGUCUGCUGUGAAAUCCCGAGGCUCAACCUCGGGUCUGCAGUGGGUACGGGCAGACUAGAGUGCGGUAGGGGAGAUUGGAAUUCCUGGUGUAGCGGUGGAAUGCGCAGAUAUCAGGAGGAACACCGAUGGCGAAGGCAGAUCUCUGGGCCGUAACUGACGCUGAGGAGCGAAA